GAUGAACGCUGGCGGCGUGCCUAAUACAUGCAAGUCGAGCGAACGGACGAGAAGCUUGCUUCUCUGAUGUUAGCGGCGGACGGGUGAGUAACACGUGGAUAACCUACCUAUAAGACUGGGAUAACUUCGGGAAACCGGAGCUAAUACCGGAUAAUAUUUUGAACCGCAUGGUUCAAAAGUGAAAGACGGUCUUGCUGUCACUUAUAGAUGGAUCCGCGCUGCAUUAGCUAGUUGGUAAGGUAACGGCUUACCAAGGCAACGAUGCAUAGCCGACCUGAGAGGGUGAUCGGCCACACUGGAACUGAGACACGGUCCAGACUCCUACGGGAGGCAGCAGUAGGGAAUCUUCCGCAAUGGGCGAAAGCCUGACGGAGCAACGCCGCGUGAGUGAUGAAGGUCUUCGGAUCGUAAAACUCUGUUAUUAGGGAAGAACAUAUGUGUAAGUAACUGUGCACAUCUUGACGGUACCUAAUCAGAAAGCCACGGCUAACUACGUGCCAGCAGCCGCGGUAAUACGUAGGUGGCAAGCGUUAUCCGGAAUUAUUGGGCGUAAAGCGCGCGUAGGCGGUUUUUUAAGUCUGAUGUGAAAGCCCACGGCUCAACCGUGGAGGGUCAUUGGAAACUGGAAAACUUGAGUGCAGAAGAGGAAAGUGGAAUUCCAUGUGUAGCGGUGAAAUGCGCAGAGAUAUGGAGGAACACCAGUGGCGAAGGCGACUUUCUGGUCUGCAACUGACGCUGAUGUGCGAAAGCGUGGGGAUCAAACAGGAUUAGAUACCCUGGUAGUCCACGCCGUAAACGAUGAGUGCUAAGUGUUAGGGGGUUUCCGCCCCUUAGUGCUGCAGCUAACGCAUUAAGCACUCCGCCUGGGGAGUACGACCGCAAGGUUGAAACUCAAAGGAAUUGACGGGGACCCGCACAAGCGGUGGAGCAUGUGGUUUAAUUCGAAGCAACGCGAAGAACCUUACCAAAUCUUGACAUCCUUUGACAACUCUAGAGAUAGAGCCUUCCCCUUCGGGGGGCAAAGUGACAGGUGGUGCAUGGUUGUCGUCAGCUCGUGUCGUGAGAUGUUGGGUUAAGUCCCGCAACGAGCGCAACCCUUAAGCUUAGUUGCCAUCAUUAAGUUGGGCACUCUAAGUUGACUGCCGGUGACAAACCGGAGGAAGGUGGGGAUGACGUCAAAUCAUCAUGCCCCUUAUGAUUUGGGCUACACACGUGCUACAAUGGACAAUACAAAGGGCAGCGAAACCGCGAGGUCAAGCAAAUCCCAUAAAGUUGUUCUCAGUUCGGAUUGUAGUCUGCAACUCGACUACAUGAAGCUGGAAUCGCUAGUAAUCGUAGAUCAGCAUGCUACGGUGAAUACGUUCCCGGGUCU
rnacentral:rRNA from 1 species